UAGGUAGGUGGUCUCAUUUGUCUGGGGUGAAAGCCUUGAGCUUAACUCAAGAAGUGCCCCAGAAACGGUGAGACUGGAGUCCUGGAGAGGGUCGUGGAAUUCCCGGUGUAGCGGUGAAAUGCGCAGAGAUCGGGAGGAACACCAGAGGCGAAAGCGGCGACCUGGACAGGUACUGACACUCAACUACGAAAGCGUGGGGAGAAACA
rnacentral:rRNA from 1 species